CAGAGGGGGCAAGCGUUGUUCGGAAUUACUGGGCGCAAAGGGCGCGUAGGCGGCCUGCUAAGUCGAACGUGAAAUCCCCGGGCUCAACCGGGAACUGCGUUCGAGACUGGUGGGCUUGAAUUCGGGAGAGGGAUGCGGAAUUCCAGGUGUAGCGGUGAAAUGCGUAGAUAUCUGGAGGAACACCGGUGGCGAAGGCGGCAUCCUGGACCGACAUUGACGCUGAGGCGCGAAAGCCAGGGGAGCAAACGGGAUUAGAUACCCCGGUAGUCCUGGCCCUAAACGAUGAAUGCUUGGUGUGGCGGGUAUCGAUCCCUGCUGUGCCGAAGCUAACGCAUUAAGCAUUCCGCCUGGGGAGUACGGUCGCAAGGCUG
rnacentral:rRNA from 1 species